GGCCGAGUGGCGGAAUGGCAGACGCUCUGGACUUAAAAUCCAGUGGGAGGUAACUCCCGUGCGGGUUCGACCCCCGCCUCGGCUA
rnacentral:tRNA from 1 species